rnacentral:rRNA from 1 species
UACGUAGGGUGCGAGCGUUGUCCGGAAUUACUGGGCGUAAAGAGCUCGUAGGUGGUUUGUCGCGUUGUCCGUGAAAACUCACAACUCAAUUGUGGGCGUGCGGGCGAUACGGGCAGACUGGAGUACUGCAGGGGAGACUGGAAUUCCUGGUGUAGCGGCGGAAUGCGCAGAUAUCAGGAGGAACACCGGUGGCGAAGGCGGGUCUCUGGGCAGUAACUGACGCUGAGGAGCGAAAGCGUGGGGAGCGAACAGG